rnacentral:rRNA from 1 species
GAUGAACGCUGGCGGCGUGCCUAAUACAUGCAAGUCGAACGAAACUUCUUUAUCACCGAGUGCUUGCACUCACCGAUAAAGAGUUGAGUGGCGAACGGGUGAGUAACACGUGGGCAACCUGCCCAAAAGAGGGGGAUAACACUUGGAACCAGGUGCUAAUACCGCAUAACCAUAGUUACCGCAUGGUAACUAUGUAAAAGGUGGCUAUACUACCGCUUUUGGAUGGGCCCGCGGCGCAUUAGCUAGUUGGUAGGGUAAAGGCUUACCAAGGCAAUGAUGCGUAGCCGAAUUGAGAGGUUGAUCGGCCACAUUGGGACUGAGACACGGCCCAAACUCCUACGGGAGGCAGCAGUAGGGAAUCUUCCACAAUGGGCGAAAGCCUGAUGGAGCAACGCCGCGUGGGUGAAGAAGGUCUUCGGAUCGUAAAACCCUGUUGUUAGAGAAGAAAGUGCGUGAGAGUAACUGUUCACGUUUCGACGGUAUCUAACCAGAAAGCCACGGCUAACUACGUG